UGCUCCGAGCAGCGACAGCACCUCCGUCUCGCCUCUUCAUUCGUCGGCACGAGCUCGUGCUCGUCCGCGGUCGGUUAUCCUGUGCUGCAUACCUAUCGAGAGGGCAUUUUGUCGGUUGAAACGAUCCCAUCUCCGUCCUGCGUCGCCGCUCCGUGCGGGCUGUCGAUGCGGGGUGGAUCUCAAGGCUCGCGUCGUGUCUCGCACCGCAUCCACCGAUUUUCGGUGUUUGGGCAGGCGAACCACGUCGCGUUGCCCGUCGCCUCGGGUACGGAACAUCACGUGGGUACGCGGCCUCGGCCGCCGAUCGCCACAACGAUGCGUUCUACGCUUUUUGCGAACGACGGUCGGUUCGGUCUCCUCCCGUGCACUCGUGCAUCGGU
rnacentral:misc_RNA from 1 species